rnacentral:rRNA from 1 species
CCAACAGGGAUUGCCCCAGUAACGGCGAGUGAAGCGGCAGGAGCUCAAAUUUGAAAUCUGGGGUCCCCGACCUCCGAGUUGUAAUUUGGAGAGGCAUCUUCGGGGGGGAGCGCUGGCCCAUGUUCCUUGGAACAGGACGUCGCAGAGGGUGAGAAUCCCGUGCCAGGCCGGCUGCCUCCUCCCAGGUGGAGGGCCUUCGAUGAGUCGAGUUGUUUGGGAAUGCAGCUCCAAGUGGGUGGUAAAUUUCAUCUAAAGCUAAAUACCGGCGGGAGACCGAUAGCGCACAAGUAGAGUGAUCGAAAGAUGAAAAGCACUUUGAAAAUAGAGUCAAAAAGUACGUGAAAUUGUUGAAAGGGAAGCGCUUGAGACCAGACUCAGACCCGAGCAAACAUCGCGCCCCUCGGGGCCGUGCAAUUGCCUGGGGCUGGGCCAGCAUCAGUUGGCGUGGCGGGACAAAGGCGCGGGGAAUGUGGCUCCCCUCGGGGAGUGUUAUUAGGCCCGCGCUAAAUGCCGCCGAC